GGGGACGCGCGGGCUCGACAGGGGGAUGCUUGGCGGAAUUGCAGGCCGAGGCGCCACCGCACCUCGUAAAAAGGUGGCACAAUAGUAACUGGCGAUCGUGAACUCGCCCUAGCUGCCUAACCGCAGCUACGUCCGCCCUGGCUGCUCCCGGAGGCCGGGAAACGGGCGCCAUAACUCCGGGAUGCUGCCGGCCCAACGCCGAUGAGGCCGGUCCAAGAACCAUCGGCUACGUCUCUGGAGAUUCGGCCGGCGGAAGCUCCGGUAGGCGAAACAAAUAGCCGGAUAAGCCUGUAGUACAUUCCAGUUGGGAGCCUUCUGGACGGGGAGUUCGACCCUCCCCCGUCUCCACCA
rnacentral:tmRNA from 1 species